AUAGAGCAGGCUGGAGGGCAUGAAAUGAGAAGGACUAUACAGAAGGCCUCAGCUGUGUAUGUUCAGCAGAGGGUGAGAAGGCUUUUCGACACAAAGGAGCCUGAUCUACUAAAGCUUCCAGGUGUACACCAGUAUACCAGUUGGCCAUGGAUCAUUUCUGGCGACGCACCUGUCUGGAAGCAGCGCUAACUGUCCCAAGUCGUGACCCGGGGUGGACCACACCUCUAUGUAUCAGUGGUGACGUCUCUGCGUUGUUGGCCUGUCUACAUGGAAGAAGAUCCCCAAACGACCCUCUGCUGGCUUUCUGAUGGACUGGAUUCUCACAUCAUCAUGAAUGUUAACAAUUUAAUAAUUGUACCCACUCGGCUUACAUUGCAGCUUGUCACCCAGGAAGGGGGUCUCCACAUCUGCGGCCUCUACCCAAGCACAACCGGACACAUCAAAGCAGUGGGCUUCAAAAUCGCAGGUGUUGAAGGAUUAAGGGCCACCGCAGGACGGGGUGUUAUUGUCCAUAUCAUCUUUGAUGUGCUGUCUCUUUCACUCACUCAUGUUUGGAACCUGGAAUUGGGAUUGACAGCCUCAGAGUGACCAUCGUCAUGACAGGAAAUGUGAUGUGUCAUUGCUCUCACACAGAUUACAAGAAUCUGUGCGGGGGGGAAAAAAUCAUAAAGCCUUGUCCAGGUUAGUGACAGUC